GGCCGCGUGGCGCACUGGUUAUGCAUCUGGCUUCUCUCCACGGAGGGCGUAGGUUCAAACCCUGCCGCGGUUA